rnacentral:rRNA from 1 species
GCGCCUACGGGACGCAGCAGUGAGGAAUAUUGGUCAAUGGGCGGGAGCCUGAACCAGCCAAGCCGCGUGAAGGAAGAAGGCGCCAAGCGUCGUAAACUUCUUUUGUCGGGGAACAAAGGGCGCCACGUGUGGCGUUGUGAGUGUACCCGAAGAAAAAGCAUCGGCUAACUCCGUGCCAGCAGCCGCGGUAAUACGGAGGAUGCGAGCGUUAUCCGGAUUUAUUGGGUUUAAAGGGUGCGUAGGCGGAAUAUCAAGUCAGCGGUAAAAAUUCGGGGCUCAACCCCAUCGUGCCGUUGAAACUGAUG